rnacentral:rRNA from 1 species
CAGGGUGAGUCGACCCCUAAGGCGAGGCCGAAAGGCGUAGUCGAUGGGAAACAGGUUAAUAUUCCUGUACUUGGUGUUACUGCGAAGGGGGGACGGAGAAGGCUAUGUUGGCCGGGCGACGGUUGUCCCGGUUUAAGCGUGUAGGCUGGUUUUCCAGGCAAAUCCGGAAAAUCAAGGCUGAGGCGUGAUGACGAGGCACUACGGUGCUGAAGCAACAAAUGCCCUGCUUCCAGGAAAAGCCUCUAAGCAUCAGGUAACAUCAAAUCGUACCCCAAACCGACACAGGUGGUCAGGUAGAGAAUACCAAGGCGCUUGAGAGAACUCGGGUGAAGGAACUAGGCAAAAUGGUGCCGUAACUUCGGGAGAAGGCACGCUGAUAUGUAGGUGAAGUCCCUCGCGGAUGGAGCUGAAAUCAGUCGAAGAUACCAGCUGGCUGCAACUGUUUAUUAAAAACACAGCACUGUGCAAACACGAAAGUGGACGUAUACGGUGUGACGCCUGCCCGGUGCCGGAAGGUUAAUUGAUGGGGUCAGCGCAAGCGAAGCUCUUGAUCGAAGCCCCGGUAAACGGCGGCCGUAACUAUAACGGUCCUAAGGUAGCGAAAUUCCUUGUCGGGUAAGUUCCGACCUGCACGAAUGGCGUAAUGAUGGCCAGGCUGUCUCCACCCGAGACUCAGUGAAAUUGAACUCGCUGUGAAGAUGCAGUGUACCCGCGGCAAGACGGAAAGACCCCGUGAACCUUUACUAUAGCUUGACACUGAACAUUGAGCCUUGAUGUGUAGGAUAGGUGGGAGGCUUAGAAGUGUGGACGCCAGUCUGCAUGGAGCCGACCUUGAAAUACCACCCUUUAAUGUUUGAUGUUCUAACGUGGACCCGUAAUCCGGGUUGCGGACAGUGUCUGGUGGGUAGUUUGACUGGGGCGGUCUCCUCCUAAAGAGUAACGGAGGAGCACGAAGGUUGGCUAAUCCUGGUCGGACAUCAGGAGGUUAGUGCAAUGGCAUAAGCCAGCUUGACUGCGAGCGUGACGGCGCGAGCAGGUGCGAAAGCAGGUCAUAGUGAUCCGGUGGUUCUGAAUGGAAGGGCCAUCGCUCAACGGAUAAAAGGUACUCCGGGGAUAACAGGCUGAUACCGCCCAAGAGUUCAUAUCGACGGCGGUGUUUGGCACCUCGAUGUCGGCUCAUCACAUCCUGGGGCUGAAGUAGGUCCCAAGGGUAUGGCUGUUCGCCAUUUAAAGUGGUACGCGAGCUGGGUUUAGAACGUCGUGAGACAGUUCGGUCCCUAUCUGCCGUGGGCGCUGGAGAAUUGAGGGGGGCUGCUCCUAGUACGAGAGGACCGGAGUGGACGCAUCACUGGUGUUCGGGUUGUCAUGCCAAUGGCACUGCCCGGUAGCUAAAUGCGGAAGAGAUAAGUGCUGAAAGCAUCUAAGCACGAAACUUGCCCCGAGAUGAGUUCUCCCUGACUCCUUGAGAGUCCUGAAGGAACGUUGAAGACGACGACGUUGAUAGGCCGGGUGUGUAAGCGCAGCGAUGCGUUGAGCUAACCGGUACUAAUGAACCGUGAGGCUUAACCU